rnacentral:rRNA from 1 species
GGACGGGGGAUCACUCGGCUCGUCCAUCGAUGAAGAGCGCGGCCAGCCACGAGAACUGAUGCGAAUUGCAGGACUCAGUGAACAUCGA